CGCAGCCGCGGUAAUUCCAGCUCCAAUAGCGUAUAUUAAAGUUGUUGCAGUUAAAAAGCUCGUAGUUGAAUUUCGGGAUCAAAGGAUCGGUCAUGCCUUGGUAUGUACUGGUUUUAUUGGUUCUCACCUUCUAAAGAACCAUAAUGUCAUUCAUUUGAUGUUAUGGGGAAUUAGGACUGUUACCUUGAAAAAUUAGAGUGUUUAAAGCAGGCUUACGCUUGAAUACAUUAGCAUGGAAUAAUGAAAUAGGACAUCAGAUUCUAUUUUGUUGGUUUCUAGGAUCGAUGUAAUGAUUAAUAGGGAUAGUUGGGGGCAUUAGUAUUCAAUUGUCAGAGGUGAAAUUCUUGGAUUUAUUGAAGACUAACUACUGCGAAAGCAUUUGCCAAGGAUGUUUUCAUUAAUCAAGAACGAAAGUUAGGGGAUCGAAGACGAAUCAGAUACCGUCGUAGUCUUAACCAUAAACUAUGCCGACUAGGGAUCGGAUGAUGUUAAUUUUAUAAUGACUCAUUCCGG
rnacentral:misc_RNA from 1 species